rnacentral:rRNA from 1 species
UACGAAGGGGGCUAGCGUUGUUCGGAUUUACUGGGCGUAAAGGGCGCGCAGGCGGCUCAUUUUGUCAGGCGUGAAAGCCCCGGGCUUAACCUGGGAACUGCGUUUGAUACGGAUGGGCUAGAGUUCGGGAGAGGAGAGUGGAAUUCCCAGUGUAGAGGUGAAAUUCGUAGAUAUUGGGAAGAACACCGGUGGCGAAGGCGGCCAACUGGACCACAACUGACGCUGAGGCGCGAAAGCGUGGGGAGCAAACAGG